GCCAGUGUAGUGUAGUGGUUUGAGCGUUGGACUGUGAUUCUGGAGACUAGGGUUUGAAUCCCCACUCGGCCA